rnacentral:tRNA from 2 species
GCCGGCGUAGCUCAGUGGUAGAGCAGCUGAUUCGUAAUCAGCAGGUCGGAGGUUCGACCCCUCUCGCCGGCUCCA